rnacentral:rRNA from 1 species
AUUGAACGCUGGCGGCAGGCCUAACACAUGCAAGUCGAACGAGUGGCGGACGGGUGAGUAAUAUAUAGGAAACUGCCCGAUGGAGGGGGAUAACUACUGGAAACGGUAGCUAAUACCGAAUACCAUUGGAUGGGCCCAGAUGGGAUUAGCUAGUAGGUGGGGUAAAGGCUCACCAAGGCGACGACCCCUAGCUGGUCUGAGAGGACGACCAGCCACACUGGUACUGAUACACGGCCCAGACUCCUACGGGAGGCAUCAGUGGGGAAUGUUGCACAAUGGGGGAAAGCCUGAUCCAGCCAUGCCGCGUGUAUGAAGAAGGCCUUCGGGUUGUAAAGUACUUUCAGCGGGGAGGCGUUACCUGCAGAAUAAGCACCGGCUAACUCCGUGCCAGCAGCCGCGGUAAUUC